rnacentral:lncRNA from 1 species
UUGAUGGAUGGAGAAAAGGCUGUUGGUGUUCUUUUUCUAGACCUGAUUGUUGCUGAAGUGGCAAUGAAUAGCCUUUUGAGCUGCUCAAAUACAUGAAUGGACUCUGAUUAGAGUCCCGAAUACCAUACCAACACUAACUUCUUAAGAGUAGUCAGAAUGGUAAGAUAAAGGAGAGCGUCCGAGGCACCCUGAAGUAUUAUGAGGGCCUUGUAAGCCUCAAGGUGGUCAGGGGGUCUGAAAAGUCAUCG